AUGGAGCCUCUGCGAGUUGGGGGUCUACCACUCUGGUGCCCGGGGCCCAAGGCUGACAGUGGGAGCAUGGCGAGACCCCUGAGCCUCUGCCUGUCCCACCAGCCAGCCCUGUCCCCACUCCUGCCCCUUGGGUGCACCCCAGUGACCCCCUCCCUCCCCAGUCCCUGCCUGGGCCAUGUCCCUGUCCUGACCUCACUUGGCCUCUGUCCCCCAGUAUCCAGAUCUCCUGGACUGACCCAUGUUGCUGGUGCCCAGUCCCCUGACCUCAGGAGAGCCACACCCACCCUCAGCAGAAGACCCCUCUGUGGGUCCCUCCCCAACAGCUCCACUCAGGGGUCUCAGGUGACCCCACUGCAGGAAGCUGACCCUAACCCCGAAAUCCUGCUGCCAACUGACGCACGUCCAGGCUGUCGUGCUUCAGCACAGAGGGUACCACAUGUGGCUGCCACCAAGACGACUUCUGUGAUAGCAGGAAUGGGGAUGACUAUCCUGGGGCUCACCCCGCGCCAUCUGCAGAGGAGGCCAGAGGUCUCAGGAGAGAGAACCCUGGAGGAGUGCCAGCCCCAGACCCACAUCUAG
rnacentral:lncRNA from 1 species